rnacentral:rRNA from 1 species
GCGGCGCACGGGUGCGUAACACGUGGGUAAUCUGCCCUGGAGUCCGGAAUAACUCGCCGAAAGGCGUGCUGAUGCCGGAUAAGACCACGGGAGCCUCGGCUCCUGCGGAAAAAGGUGGCCUAUGUAUACAAGCUAUCUCUUCAGGAUGAGCCCGCGGCCCAUCAGCUAGUUGGCGGGGUAAUGGCCCACCAAGGCUACGACGGGUAGCUGGUCUGAGAGGACGAUCAGCCACACUGGAACUGAGACACGGUCCAGACUCCUACGGGAGGCAGCAGUGGGAAUCUUGCGCAAUGGGCGAAAGCCUGACGCAGCAACGCCGCGUGUGUGAUGAAGGUCUUCGGAUCGUAAAGCACUGUCGCGAGGGACG